rfam:Elusimicrobia bacterium CG1_02_56_21 cg1_0.2_scaffold_5418_c, whole genome shotgun sequence.
GGAGAGGUGUGUGAGCGGUUGAAACAGCAGGUCUCGAAAACCUGUAGGGGUAACACCCUCGAGGGUUCGAAUCCCUCCCUCUCCG